AUUGAACGCUGGCGGCAGGCCUAACACAUGCAAGUCGAGCGAGCGGCGGACGGGUGAGUAAUGUCCGGGAAACUGCCUGAUGGAGGGGGAUAACUACUGGAAACGGUAGCUAAUACCGCAUACCAUCAGUUUAUCCCAGAUGGGAUUAGCUAGUAGGUGGGGUAACGGCUCACCUAGGAGACGAUCCCUAGCUGGUCUGAGAGGAUGACCAGCCACAGUGGAACUGAGACACGGUCCAGACUCCUACGGGAGGCAGCAGUGGGGAAUAGUGCACAAUGGGCGCAAGCCUGAUGCAGACAUGCCGGGUGUGUAAAGAAGGCCUUCGGGUGGAAAAGCACUUUCAGCGGGGAGGCGUUACCCGCAGAAGAAGCACCGGCUAACUCCGUGCCAGCAGCCGCGGUAAUAC
rnacentral:rRNA from 1 species